rnacentral:rRNA from 1 species
AGCAGCCGCGGUAAUUCCAGCUCCAAUAGCGUAUAUUAAAGUUGUUGCAGUUAAAAAGCUCGUAGUUGAAUUUUAGGCCUGGCCGGGCGGUCCGUCUUUGGCGAGUACUGCCCUGUGUCGGGUCAUCCUUCUGGUGAACCAGUAUGUCCUUUAUUGGGUGUGCCGGAGAGCCAGGACCAUUACCUUGAAAAAAUUAGAGUGUUUAAAGCGGGCAUUUGCUUGAAUAGAUUAGCAUGGAAUAAUAGAAUAGGACGUUGUGGUUCUAUCUUGUUGGUUUCUAGGACCACCGUAAUGAUUAAUAGGGAUAGUUGGGGGCAUUAGUAUUCAAUUGUCAGAGGUGAAAUUCUUGGAUUUAUUGAAGACUAACUAUUGCGAAAGCAUUUGCCAAGGAUGUUUUCAUUAAUCAAGAACGAAAGUUGGGGGACCGAAGACGAUCAGAUACCGUCGUAGUCUUAACCAUAAACUAUGCCGACUAGGAAUCGGGCGACGUUAUUUUCAUGACUCGCUCGGCGCCUUAUGG